rnacentral:rRNA from 1 species
GCGAACGCUGGCGGCAGGCCUCACCCCUGCCAGUCGCACGAACCUUUCGGGGUUAGUGGCGGACGGGUGAGUAACACGUGGGAACGUGCCUUUAAGUUCGGAAUAACUCAGGGAAACUUGUGCUAAUACCGAAUGUGCCCUUCGGGGGAAAGAUUUAUCGCCUUUAGAGCGGCCCGCGUCUGAUUAGCUAGUUGGUUGAGGUAAUGGCUCACCAAGGCGACGAUCAGUAGCUGGUCUGAGAGGAUGAUCAGCCACAUUGGGACUGAGACACGGCCCAAACUCCUACGGGAGGCAGCAGUGGGGAAUCUUGCGCAAUGGGCGAAAGCCUGACGCAGCCAUGCCGCGUGAAUGAUGAAGGUCUUAGGAUUGUAAAAUUCUUUCACCGGGGACGAUAAUGACGGUACCCGGAGAAGAAGCCCCGGCUAACUUCGUG